UGGGGAAUAUUGCACAAUGGAGGGAACUCUGAUGCAGCGACGCCGCGUGAGUGAUGAAGGAAUUCGUUUCGUAAAACUCUGUUCUAUGGGAAGAAAAGGACUGUACCAUAGGAGAAAGCUCCGGCUAAAUACGUGCCAGCAGCCGCGGUAAUACGUAUGGAGCGAGCGUUGUCCGGAAUUAUUGGGCGUAAAGGGUGCGCAGGCGGCUUUACAAGUUGGAUGUGAAAUAUUGUAGCUCAACCACAAACGUGCAUCCAAAACUGCAAAGCUUGAGUUAAGGAGAGGUAAGUGGAAUUCCUGGUGUAGCGGUGGAAUGCGUAGAUAUCAGGAGGAAUACCGGUGGCGAAGGCGACUUACUGGACUUAAACUGACGCUCAGGCACGAAAGCGUGGGGAGCAAACAGG
rnacentral:rRNA from 1 species